CACCGUUUGUUUGAAGGACCAGAUGGACAUGAGUUGAUGCAGAUUCCAAUCAGCAAACAAAGGUUAUCAAGCAACGUAUAACAGGAGAAGAAGCUGGGAAAUUAUGUCUGCUCGCAUUCGAUUGACUUCAAAGUUCGUAUAGAGUACGAUAACUGCAGUCAUGUCAACCGUAGUGACACCGGCCCCAGAAAUAUGGACUGAGAUAGAGUGGGGUCGAAACCGAAACUAUUAAGUCGUAUUUCAAUCCUUGGCUGCCUUGGCUGGCUUGGCUUCGUGCCAAUUCAAAGCCGCAAGCAACUUCUGGAUCCUUGUUCGUUCCGGAGAGGACACAAAGGCCUUUCUCGGAGUGCGUCGGUCGAUCCGAGUUUAGGAAGUCUGUAUCAUCAAGAAAAAACUGCAGGUGGCUGGAAGCUGCCGAUCAGCUGCCAGUCUGGAUAGUAGCCAUCAACUCAGCAAAGGCCUGCAGGCGAAUCAGCCCAACCUGUUUCUCUGCUGCCUUUCAAGACAGGAUGGUUUGUGAAAAGUGAAACGGGGCCCAUGCACCGCUUCCGCAGGGCCCUGCUGUGGGAGCUCAUGGUGGUGGCACGGUGCAUGGAAGGACAGAGUGGCUGACAGUGAGCUGCCCAAGCAAGCUGCUGGCUCUUGUGACCGUCUCCGAAAGCCUCUGGAUGGGCUAAAUUGCAGACGUGCCUGGACAUUUAUAAAUGGUGCUGCUAUCCAGCUCUACGUCACAGCCAUGAAGUGGCCAUGGGGUGAACUGUGUACAACUGCUGUCAUUAGUACUCGAAUCGGCAGAGCCACCUACUAGCUCUGAAGCACAGUUGCCAGGCACCAGAUACUCGACCAGCGACCAACCUUUGUCGCUCUAGUGGGACACGAGAGCGACAAACAGAAACAAACGACAGCUACAAGCCUCCAACCCAUUCAGCAUGCCCGUGGUGGUACUUUUGGCAGGCGGCGUUUAUUCGUUCGGUGCUCGUGAAAUAAGCAUGAGUGAUUCUAAGCCUGCCAAAGAUACCCUCGCGUGCAUGAUGCUUGUGUUUAAGCAUAGCCUCCUUUAUUCUACAAAGCCCGUCAAAUCGGGAAAGACUUGGGUUUGAGACUUGUCGUCAUUUGUUUCUGUUUGUCGCUGUAGUGGAACUCGGGCAUAAGCUAGCACCAUGUACUGAACAUGAAAUAAAAAACCACUGUAUCAAACUU
rnacentral:lncRNA from 1 species